rnacentral:tRNA from 1 species
GCCCUUCGCUUACACCGAAGAAAUAUCUGUUUAAAUCAGAUUAUUUUGA